rnacentral:rRNA from 1 species
AAUAGAUACCCUGGUAGUCCUAGCCGUAAACGAUACUCGCUAGGUGUCGGCCACGGUGCGACCGUUGUCGGUGCCGUAGGGAAGCCGUGAAGCGAGCCACCUGGGAAGUACGGCCGCAAGGCUGAAACUUAAAGGAAUUGGCGGGGGAGCACCACAACGGGUGGAGCUUGCGGUUUAAUUGGAUUCAACGCCGGAAAUCUUACCGGGACCGACAGCAAUAUGAAGGCCAGGCUGAAGACUUUGCCGGAUUAGCUGAGAGGUGGUGCAUGGCCGUCGUCAGUUCGUACUGUGAAGCAUCCUGUUAAGUCAGGCAACGAGCGAGACCCACGCCCACAGUUGCCAGCGUACUCUCCGGAGUGACGGGUGCACUGUGGGGACCGCCGCUGCUAAAGCGGAGGAAGGAAUGGGCAACAGUAGGUCAGUAUGCCCCGAAUAUCCCGGGCUACACGCGAGCUACAAUGGUUGGUACAAUGGGUAUCUACCCCGAAAGGGGAUGGAAAUCUCCUAAAGCCAAUCUUAGUUCGGAUUGAGGGCUGCAACUCG